GCCGCCAUCGUCUAGUGGCCUAGGAUAUCUGGUUCUCAUCCAGAAGACCGCGAGUUCAAAUCUCGCUGGCGGCA
rnacentral:tRNA from 1 species